GGGCGAGUGGCGGAAUCGGCAGACGCCUUGGAUUUAAAAUCCAAUGGGCUUUCACGGCCCGUGGGGGUUCAAGUCCCCCCUCGCCCA
rnacentral:tRNA from 1 species